rnacentral:rRNA from 1 species
UGGGGGAUAUUUCACAAUGGGGGAAACCCUGAUGCAGCGACGCCGCGUGUGGGAAGACGGUCCUCUGGAUUGUAAACCACUGUCCCCAGGGACGAAGAUGACGGUACCUGGGGAGGAAGCUCCGGCUAACUACGUGCC